AUUGAACGCUGGCGGCAUGCCUUACACAUGCAAGUCGAACGGCAGCACGGGUGCUUGCACCUGGUGGCGAGUGGCGAACGGGUGAGUAAUACAUCGGAACAUGUCCUGUAGUGGGGGAUAGCCCGGCGAAAGCCGGAUUAAUACCGCAUACGAUCUACGGAUGAAAGCGGGGGACCUUCGGGCCUCGCGCUAUAGGGUUGGCCGAUGGCUGAUUAGAUAGUUGGUGGGGUAAAGGCCUACCAAGGCGACGAUCAGUAGCUGGUCUGAGAGGACGGCCAGCCACACUGGGACUGAGACACGGCCCAGACUCCUACGGGAGGCAGCAGUGGGGAAUUUUGGACAAUGGGCGAAAGCCUGAUCCAGCAAUGCCGCGUGUGUGAAGAAGGCCUUCGGGUUGUAAAGCACUUUUGUCCGGAAAGAAAUCCUUGGCCCUAAUACGGUCGGGGGAUGACGGUACCGGAAGAAUAAGCACCGGCUAACUACGUG
rnacentral:rRNA from 1 species